UAGACACUACACAGCAGAAUUUAUACAGGAACGUGAUGUUAGAGAACUAUGGGAAUCAGGUCUUUCUGGGUAUUGCUGUCUCUAGGCCAGACCUGAUCACCUGUCUGGAGCAAGAAAACGAGCCUUGGAAUAUGAAGAGACAUGAGACUGUUGCCAAAC